UCUACGGGAGGCAGCAGUGGGGAAUAUUGCGCAAUGGGCGAAAGCCUAACGCAGCGACGCCGCGUGAGGGAUGAAGGUCUUCGGAUCGUAAACCUCUGUCAGCAGGGAAGAACGGUCACUGUGCUAAUCAGCAGUGAAUUGACGGUACCUGCAAAGGAAGCACCGGCUAACUCCGUGCCAGCAGCCGCGGUAAUACGGAGGGUGCGAGCGUUAAUCGGAAUUACUGGGCGUAAAGCGCUCGUAGGCGGUAUGUCAAGUCAAGGGUGAAAUCCCCGCGCUCAACGUGGGAACUGCCUUUGAAACUGGCAAACUGGAGUGUGGGAGAGGAUAGUGGAAUUCCAGGUGUAGGAGUGAAAUCCGUAGAUAUCUGGAGGAACAUCAGUGGCGAAGGCGACUAUCUGGCACAUAACUGACGCUGAGGAGCGAAAGCGUGGGUAGCAAACAGGAUUAGAUACCCGAGUAGUC
rnacentral:rRNA from 1 species